rnacentral:lncRNA from 1 species
GUUUAAUCAAGAAUGGAUGGACGUUUGUAGGGUGCUGUAAGAGAGGAUGGUACAAGAUCAGAGUGCAUAUACCUGUUUAGCUAAAAUUAGCUAUAGAAAACCAGAUGAAGAAGAUUUCUGGAUUCUGAUUAUGUAUAUAUGUAUAUUCUUAUGUUCAAAAUAAUCAAAGUUAUGCUAUCAAUUUUUUGAUUUUGUAAAUGCUUAAUUG